AUUGAACGCUGGCGGCAGGCUUAACACAUGCAAGUCGAGCGGGGGAAGGUAGCUUGCUACCGGACCUAGCGGCGGACGGGUGAGUAAUGCUUAGGAAUCUGCCUAUUAGUGGGGGACAACAUCUCGAAAGGGAUGCUAAUACCGCAUACGUCCUACGGGAGAAAGCAGGGGAUCUUCGGACCUUGCGCUAAUAGAUGAGCCUAAGUCGGAUUAGCUAGUUGGUGGGGUAAAGGCCUACCAAGGCGACGAUCUGUAGCGGGUCUGAGAGGAUGAUCCGCCACACUGGGACUGAGAAACGGCCCAGACUCCUACGGGAGGCAGCAGUGGGGAAUAUUGGACAAUGGGGGGAACCCUGAUCCAGCCAUGCCGCGUGUGUGAAGAAGGCCUUAUGGUUGUAAAGCACUUUAAGCGAGGAGGAGGCAACUUUAGUUAAUACCUAGAGAUAGUGGACGUUACUCGCAGAAUAAGCACCGGCUAACUCUGUGCCAGCCGCCGCCGUAA
rnacentral:rRNA from 1 species